CUUCCGGCACCCGUGGACGCCCCCAACCCUCCAGAUGGUUCCGCGAGACAACUAGUUGGAGACCGUAGCUCACUACGCGCCCACCCACAGUUCCCUUAGUGAACCAGCCUUCCAGCGGCUCGGAGUCCCCAGAAAGCCCCCUGGGGGCUGCGGCGCCUCCUAGUCUGUCCCCGUCUUCUCUGACUCACACUCUCAGCCCUUCGUUUUUUGUGUUUUGAGAGAGGGAGACAGAAGAGUAGAUUCCUGGCUGUUCCGUGGAGCUCAAUCUCCUGCCAUCCUCCUUGGUCACACACAGACUCCCUUGGCUGUCCAGGAUGCUUCUGAGAGUCGUGCAAGUGUGGAUGCUUGGGCGCCUGCAUCAAGGAAGAAAGCGGGUUGAAGGGCUAAGAAAACAGAGGUGGGAACUGGAACCUGAGAAUAAAGGGCGCUGAGCCAGACAAAGACCAAAGAUGGCAAGAGGUGAAGCUUGCUCACCCAUCCCUUGCAGAAUGGGGCCGCUACCGUCUAUGGGAAUAAAUAAUGUUGAUUAGAUUGAUUCUCUUGUUCCCUAACCAUUGGAAAGCAGAUGAGUAAUUGCAGCCCUUCCUGUGACCUAAGGUCCCUGAGUUAGCCCUUUCAUUUGGGAUUUCAUUAGCAUUCUUUUCAUCAGCCAUGGUAAAGCAUAGAAGUCACAGGCCUUUUUUUUUUCUAUUGUCCUCAAAAGAGAAUAUUGAGGCCCCUGCAGGCAGAGGCUGCCACCAGCAGCUGCGUGUCAAUUGGUGACCAGGCGCCUCUGGCAGGCCCAGUCCAGACUUCCUGGGUCAGCCUCAGAAGCCAAAGGAUUUGCCUCCUACACAGAUAUGAGGGACCCACCCCGGAGAUGCAAUUGCCGGGCUGGUCCAGGGAAGGGCCCGGGGCAGAGGAUCCUAAAUGAGGUGGUUGUUCAGUGGUCUGAAGGAGGCUACAUGGAGCUCCGUCCGUAGGAGCACUCAGUUGACCCGCCAUGGUUUCCACAUCUCCCCAGAGCCCUAUGUGCUGGGAAAACCCAGCCCCAGAAAGCUGAAAACAACAAAAUGUUCCUGGGUUAUUUAUAACUGAAAACCAGACCCUGUUGUUAUGUAUGGCCGCUCCACUUUCUCCAAAGAGCUUACAAGAUGAGAGGAAGGGCUCUCUCUCACUCUGGUGAGGAUAAAGGGACCAGGAAUUGGUUCCCCCAGACGUAUGGAGUUGUCACCCAGGUCUUGAGCAACGUCCUUCUCUUGUAAUGUCCCAGAUUGUGAAAGUCUGGGACAUUUUCUUUGUAAGUUUUGAGCAGGGCACUUUCUGUUUGGUGGGAAAAUUUCGUGAAACAUGAAUGAAACAUUUCACUUUUGGUUUCUCUAUUGUUUCACUUUUUGCCCUUCCACCCCGGUCCCCAGCAGAUUGACACAAAGUUCAGAUAUUUUCCUUUUAUCUCAGAAACCAUGCCCAUCCUCUGCUUUUUGGGGUGCCUGUGGGUGUCUUCAGAGAACAAGGAGGUCUCCUGCUGCCUCAUUUUCCCUCAAAACGGUCUGCUCAGUUCUAUAAUGGUCAUAUCUAGGGAAGUAUCUUACAGGGUCCCUAAAGACAACUUAAAAAAGAGUUUUUAAUCCAAAUAUGGCAUAUGAAUCAGUCUGGGAAAAGCCACAACCCAUAGGUUUCUCCCUGGGAUGAGGAGUGAGUGGUUCACCCUUUCCACUGAGAAAGUUUGUGUUUAAGCACAGAUUUUUGUUCUGGUAGUCAUGAGAUUUGGCCAACAGCUUUGUUUUGCCAAAGAAAGGUCAGUUGCUUGGCACACAGGAGUCUCCAAUGCUGGCCAGAAGGGCAUCCUCUCCACACCACAAGGCUUCUCUCGAGAUAGCAGUAACCAUGGCCCAUGGAUGUUGGAGUUGAAGGUGACAGUGUCAAGAUCUUAGCUGAAUGGCUGGCCGUGUGGCCUAGUGGUUAAGGGAGUCAGAUCCCAAAAGACCAACUGAGGUC